AUUGAACGCUGGCGGCAUGCUUACACAUGCAAGUCGGACGAGUGGCGAACGGGUGAGUAAUACAUCGGAACGUGUACAGUAGUGGGGGACAGCCCGGCGAAAGCCGGAUAAUACAGCAUACUCCAGGGGCGGCAGAUGGCGGAUUGGGUAGUUGGUGGGGUAAAGGCCUACCAAGCCGACGAUCUGUAGCUGGUCUGAGAGGACGACCAGCCACACUGGGCCUGAGACACGGCCCAGACUCCUACGGGAGGCAGCAGUGGGGAAUUUUGGACAAUGGGCGCAACCCUGAUCCAGCAAUGCCGCGUGUGUGAAGAAGGCUUCGGGUUGUAAAGCACUUUUGUCCGGAAAGCGGUACCGGAAGAAUAAGCACCGGCUAACUACGUGCCAGCCGCCGCGGUAAUUC
rnacentral:rRNA from 1 species